GACGAACGCUGGCGGCGUGCUUAACACAUGCAAGUCGAACGCUAAAGCACCAGCUUGCGGGUGAGGAUGAGUUGCGAACGGGUGAGUAAUACGUGAGUAACCUGCCCUUCACUGUGGGAUAAGCCAGGGAAACUGGGUGUAAUACGGGAUGCGACAUGUCACCGCAUGGUGGUGUGUGGAAAGGGUUGAUUGGUCUUGGAGGUGCUGACGGCCUAUCAGCUUGUUGGUGAGGGAAUGGCUCACCAAGUCGACGACGCGGAGCCGGCGCUAGUGGGUGACCGGCCACACCGAGACUGAGACUCGGCCCCGACUCCUACGGGAGGCAGAAGUGGCGGAUGGUGACAAUUGGGCGAGAGCCUGAUGCAGAGCCGCCGCGUGCGGGAUGACGGCCUUCGGGUUGUAAUCGUCUUUCAGCAGGGACGAAGCCGCUAGUGACAGUACCUGCAGAAGAAGCGCCGGCUAACUACGUG
rnacentral:rRNA from 1 species